CGGCGGGCUAGCCCGGGUAACUCGGCGUUCCCUGUAACCCGAAAUCGUCGAUAGCGGGGGGCGAAGCCAAUGGAAGAAGUUUUGACUGCUGCCCAACCCUCAGGUUCUACUGUGAAACCCCGUCCUGUGGGGCUGGCGCUGGUGCAGGGAUUUUCCUGAAGGAAGGUUUCUGUAUCUUAAACAUGGAAAGAGGUCGAGGCCCGGAAGGGAGCAAACCAGCCGUGUACAACCAUCGCUCAUAGGGUCGCGGGGCGGAGGCGAGUCUGUGACCACUGGACAAUGGAAGGAACUACGACCAGAGGUGUGCUCGCUA
rnacentral:SRP_RNA from 1 species